rnacentral:lncRNA from 1 species
UCCUCUUCACCAGGAGCAUGAGCUGUGCAGUGAUGCUGCUGUUGGUGGGGGCCUUAGUCCUGCUUGGGCCGUAAGCUGAGGUGGCACUUCUGGAGUUGGUGCUCCAAGCAAGGGUGGCUUCUUCCAGAAGCAUGCAGAAUGGAAAUGGACCAUGAAAGGUAUCAUGUGCUGGUGAAGGCAGCUGGGGCAGCACUAACAGAGAGUAGUCAAAAUUCUACACAGCAAAACCUAAAUACAGAUGCCAAAGCAUUUUGAGAGCAACUGGAAAUACAAUACAAGGAUGCAUGCACAAAACUCUGCACAAAACCAACAGCAGUUCUUCAGCAUACAAACAUCUUUUGCUGCUUGUGGAAAACUUGCAUACAAAUGGCCAUACCUCCAGUUCAGAAAGACUACUUUUCACCCCAUUUUAAAGUAAUCACUUAAGCAAAAAACAACCAUUUAAGAAAUUAUAUGUUAACUUACCCUUCAUCUUCAGAUUUUUUCCAUGACCCAUGUUGACAGAGUUGUGACAAACCUGGUCUGAAUUCAGCUUUGAUCCUACUUUGAAGAGCAGGUUGGACUAUAAAUCAACUAAGGUUUCCCAGCCUGAAUCAUCAGUCUGAUAGGU